CUGAGGCUCGAAAGCAUGGGUAGCAAACAGGAUUAGAUACCCUGGUAGUCCAUGCCGUAAACGAUGAUUACUAGGUGUGGGGGAGCUGACCUCUUCCGUGCCGCAGUUAACACAAUAAGUAAUCCACCUGGGGAGUACGGCCGCAAGGUUGAAACUCAAAGGAAUUGACGGGGGCCCGCACAAGCAGUGGAGUAUGUGGUUCAAUUCGAAGCAACGCGAAGAACCUUACCAGGUCUUGACAUCGAGUGACGAGUCUAGAGAUAGGCUUUUCCUUCGGGACACGAAGACAGGUGGUGCAUGGUUGUCGUCAGCUCGUGUCGUGAGAUGUUGGGUUAAGUCCCGCAACGAGCGCAACCCUUAUCAUUAGUUGCUACGGAAGAGCACUCUAAUGAGACUGCCGUUGACAAAACGGAGGAAGGUGGGGAUGACGUCAAAUCAUCAUGCCCCUUAUGACCUGGGCUACACACGUACUACAAUGGCCGUCAACAGAGGGAAGCAAAGCCGCGAGGCGGAGCAAACCCCUAAAAACGGUCCCAGUUCAGAUUGCAGGCUGCAACUCGCCUGCAUGAAGUUGGAAUUGCUAGUAAUCGCGGAUCAGCAU
rnacentral:rRNA from 1 species